ACGAGAAUAAGAGGAAAAAGACAAACAAUGGUAUAAUUGGAAUUCCAAAAUGGUCAACUUUUCAAAGAACAUGAUAGGAAUUUGCAAACACGGUGACCCUUUUGGGUUAUUAUCACUAGUAGCCCACCUUAAAUGGGAAUUCUCCCUUUAUAUUCAUAUAUGCUUGUCAAAGGGAUAAGCUUGAUCCUAGUGCUCUUAACUGAAUCUUUCUUGGCUACUCUAAUUCCCAAAAGGGCUAUAAAUGUUUUCAUCCUCCUACAAGCAAAUACUAUGUCUCCAUGAAUGUUCAAUUCUAUGAAAUGGAGUCUUAUUUUUCUAGGAAUGUGUCCCUAGUUCCUCUUCAGGAGGAGAUUGGUAGCAAUGAAGAAGAAAAGUUAUGGUUAGAAGAGAAGUUAUAAAUUUCAGGUCAAGGGGAGGAUUCAACUGAUUUGGGAAGCAGGAACUCUUUAGAGACUCCCAAUACCAUGGCAACUAAGUUUGAAUAUGAGGAAAGAAAGGAUGAAAGACCGGCCAAAUUAUUUUAACAAGGUUAUACAAGGAAGAACAAAGAUGCUAUUGUCAUGCCCCCUCUAGGCUCCAAUACUCCUCUUGAUGAUACUACUAUGCCAUCGAAUGACUCUUCCAAGACUAAUCCUAAGAUACAUGUUCUUUCACCUUUAACUUUUGAAACUAGUACCUUGAAUCCAUAAGUUGGUGAACAAGGUAGGAAAUAUCCUUUUUGUGCUUAUAAAGAACCGGAUAGGCUGGGUUUCUCAAAUUAUCCUCUAAUGUUAUCUAUCUCAUUUCUAAUUUUGUCUCUUAUCAUUGCCUAUCUAAGGGUCACCUUGCUUUUGCUCUUCAAUUAUCCUUUGUGUCUAUUCUUAGUCAUUUUUUGGAAGCCCUUGAAGAUCCUAUGGAAGUUUGCUAUGGUAGAAAAAAUGAAAGCUCUCCAAAAGAACUCUACUUGGGAGAUGGUCGAGCUUCCUCAGGAAAAAAAGUCAGUGGGAUGUAAGCGAGUGUUUUCCAUAAAGUACAAACUAGAUAGGACAAUUGACAAGUACAAAGCUAGAUUGGUUACCAAAGAAUACACCUAGACUUAAGAAAUUGACUAUCAAUAGACCUUUGCCCCUGUGGCCAAGAAGAACGUUGUUAGAGUCAUACUCUCUUAUGGUCAAUUUGGACUAGCCAUUAAGACGAUUUGAUGUAAAGAAUGUCUUUUUCCAUUGUGUUUUGUUAGAGGAGGUGUACAUGGAUCCCUCUCUGGGGUUUACACCAAAAGGAGGCAAGGUAUGCAAACUAAAUAAAAAGGGCUUUGUAUGGAUUGAAGGAGUCACCAAGGGAAUGGUUUGACAGGUUGAGCUGCUCAAUGAAGGAGUAUGGUUUUAAACAAGGAAUGGCAAAUCACACUGUUGUAUAAGAGAGAUGGUGAUGACAUUACUUUGCUUAUUGUUCAUGUUGAUGACAUGAUUGUUAUAAGUAGUAACUUUAUAAAAAUAGAGAAGCUUUGGAGCUAUCUGGCUAAGGAAUUUGAAAUAAAGAAUUUUGGGUACUAUAAAAUACUUCUUGGGUAUCGAGGUAUCUUAGUCCAAGCAAGGACUCUUUCUCUUAUAACGAAAGUAUACAUUAGAUCUUUUGGUUGAAAAUGGUAACUCCAUUUGCAAACCUGUAGAUACUCUCAUUGAGAUAAAUCAUGGCUUAUCCAUCUGCCUUAAACAAAUUCCAACAAACAAAGAAAGAUAUCAAAGACUAGUGGAAAUUAAUCUAUGACCCACACUGGACCUGACUUGUCAUAUGCGGUUAGUGUUGUAAAUCAAUUCAUGCACAAUCUGAGUGACUGACACAUAAAUGCAGUAAAUUGUAUUCUAGUCUAUUUGAAGUCCUCUCCCAGCAAAGGUAUUAUGUUCUUCAAACAUGAACAUCUAGAUAUUAAGGAUUACACAGACUAACUUUGUCAGAUCUAGAUUGGAUAAAAAGUCUACUUCAAGGUACAUGUCAUUUGUAGGAAGAAAUUUGGUGACUUGGAGGAGUAAGAAACAAAAUGUGGUCUCUUUGUCUAGUGUAGAAGUUGAAUACUGUGCGCUUCAUCAUGCAACUAUGGAACUUAUUUAGCUAAGAAUUCUCUUAAGUGAGCUUUGGUUUGGUUCCAAGAAACCUAUGGUGCUCUUUUGUGAUAACACGGCAGCUAUUAAGAUUGCAGAUAAUCCAGUAUAACACAAUUGAACUAAGCAUAUUGAACUUAACAGGAAUUACAUCAAGGAUAACCUAGAUUCUAGCAUGAUAAAGGUUUCCUACAUCAAGAGUGAAGAUCAGUUGGUGGAUAUAAUGACUCAUGUUGUUACUAGUGAUCUAUUCUAUGCAUCAUUAUCCAAGUUGGACAUGUGCAAUAUCUAUGUACCAACUUGAGUGGGAGAAUUAGCACAUAAAGCUGAUGUACAGUUGUGGCCGUGCACAGCUGUGUGUACAACUGUAAUUGAUUGUGUAAUUGUGAUUUAUACAGUUAUACAUUAUUUUGUAUAGUUGUCAAUUAUUUUAUAUAGUUGGCUAUCCUAAAAUAGUUUUGUGUACCCUGUAUAAAUACCGUUGAGAUAUGUGAAAAUAUUCAUUCAAUAAUUUAUCAAAUAUCUGUGAUCACAAACCGUUACCCACAAAAUGUGUUUGGCCUGUUUUAGAAAACUGGAAAUGACACCAAGGGUGAUGUCCUUGCAACAGGUCUACUCUAUUUUAUUCAGCAUAUUUUCUCCAAAAAAAAGAACAAUGAGAUAUUUCUUUUUCAUAUCUUCUCCAUAGAGAAAAAUAUAUAUAUAUAUAAAAUAAAAAAACAAUGAGAUAUUUAUUUUCAUUGUUUGAUUGGUUACUGAAAUCAAACACUACCUACUCGUAUUAUUAAGAAGAUAAAUGCUCCUGCUAAUUGCUGUUUUAGUCUAUGUAAGAUAGCUCCUUUCUUUUUCUUUUUCCUUCCAUUUUAGUUGGAACCCAUUCUCCCUCUAUAGAAUAAGUGAAAGGAGUUGAUGUUUGUAUUUCGUUGGGCUAGGUUUUGAUCAUCAUUGCCUUACAUCUGUCAAUUUCGCAAUGGCUUGAUUUGAGAUGAUAAAUUUGUAUUUUCAAAAUGCCAUGUAAGAUUCAAUGCACUCUUUUAAUUAAAAAAUGGUUGGCUUUACCUUCUCCAAAAUAGACAGAAGACUUGGACAAUGCCUCAUCCCCAACCAUUUAAGAGAGGUAAAUUGUACAAAUUGAUCACAUAGAAACUAUAAAAGAAACUACUGAAGCAGUUUUGAUGAUUCAAUAAUAUUCUUACGUCACUUCAGAGUUCUUAGUUACCUCAAAAAACCGAAUGUUAGCAAUGGAAUAACCAAAUCAUGAUUCAUUGGUUGAUUUACCAUUAACCUUUUUUUAUUUUGGUGUUAGGAACUUAUUGAAUCCACUGGCUGUAGGGCUUGCUUCUAUUGGACUUGGUGUCCAAGUACUACAGCAGACCAGGCUGUAGAAAUUAUCACAUGACAGCCUGAUGUGGAGAGAGAAAUUUGAGCACAGAAGGAGGAUACAGCAAAACAAUGACACUGGGUCACUUGUGGGAGCUACAUCUUUGGCUUUUUGGUUGACAUUGUUCAAGGAAGGAUUUGAGAGAUGAAACCUACGAGAGUUGGAGUUUUGCAUACCAAGAGCCUCGCCUUACAUGGGUCAAUCAACUUAGUCUCAGCAGGCUCCAGAGCAAGAGCAAUCAUCCACAAAACACGAAGGGGCUGCAGCAUAUACAGUUAGGAAAAUGGCCUUCUGACACCCAUGGGGAAAGAGGUAAUGAAAAAGAGCCUGGGAAUCCUCAGCAGCAUGUUCUUGCUGUUGGGCCCCUUAACAG